rnacentral:lncRNA from 1 species
CCAGCAGUGAGGGAAUCCAACAACAGACUACUGAAAUUCAACUAUAUACAAGCCAACUGACCGAUAUUUGGGUUAAUAACACUGAAAACCUUAGUCCAAGUGGAUAAUGACUAGACUUCUCUCCAGAUCACGUCAGUUGGGAAUCACUGAAAAUUUGCAUAUCCCUCUCUACAACUGAGAUGUGACAUUAGAAAAAUCUUGGGUCAUUCCUGCCUACCUCUUCACUUCCCCAAGACUGACAGGUCUUACCAAAGUUGUAUUCUACUGAGAAACCCUUCAAGAAAGGAAAGUGAGAAAUUGUAGCAUGGAUUUAUUGGUACAAAUAAUAUAUUCUGUUAAAUUCCCAAGCAUAACAUGAAAGACUCUGUCAAAUGUCUUACUGAAAUGUACUCAUCAGCGAUAAGAGAAGACAAUAGCUUGUAGCUGCCACCAAGGAAAUAGAGAAAAAAGAUCAGUAGAGAUGCUACUAACUGGGCCAUAGUUGCUUCCUGACAAACUGUGCAGCAGCUUUUUUCAUCAGUCCCCAGAGACAAGAGGCA